rnacentral:rRNA from 1 species
UACGUAGGUGGCAAGCGUUGUCCGGAUUUAUUGGGUUUAAAGGGUGCGUAGGCGGCCCUGUAAGUCAGUGCUGAAAUAUCCCGGCUUAACCGGGAGGGUGGCAUUGAUACUGCGGGGCUAGAGUACAGAUGAGGUAGGCGGAAUUGACGGUGUAGCGGUGAAAUGCUUAGAUAUCGUCAAGAACACCUAUAGCGAAGGCAAGUUACUAGGCUGUAACUGACGCUGAGGCACGAAGGUGUGGGGAGCAAACAGG